GAUGAACGCUGGCGGCGUGCCCAAUACAUGCAAGUCGAGCGAACAGACGAGGAGCUUGCUCCUCUGACGUUAGCGGCGGACGGGUGAGUAACACGUGGAUAACCUACCUAUAAGACUGGGAUAACUUCGGGAAACCGGAGCUAAUACCGGAUAAUAUAUUGAACCGCAUGGUUCAAUAGUGAAAGACGGUUUUGCUGUCACUUAUAGAUGGAUCCGCGCCGCAUUAGCUAGUUGGUAAGGUAACGGCUUACCAAGGCGACGAUGCGUAGCCGACCUGAGAGGGUGAUCGGCCACACUGGAACUGAGACACGGUCCAGACUCCUACGGGAGGCAGCAGUAGGGAAUCUUCCGCAAUGGGCGAAAGCCUGACGGAGCAACGCCGCGUGAGUGAUGAAGGUCUUCGGAUCGUAAAACUCUGUUAUUAGGGAAGAACAAAUGUGUAAGUAACUAUGCACGUCUUGACGGUACCUAAUCAGAAAGCCACGGCUAACUACGUG
rnacentral:rRNA from 1 species